rnacentral:rRNA from 1 species
ACGCGCGCUACACUGAUGAAGUCAGCGAGUUCACUCCUUGGCCGAGAGGUCUGGGUAAUCUUGUGAAACUUCAUCGUGCUGGGGAUAGACCAUUGUAAUUAUUGGUCUUCAACGAGGAAUUCCUAGUAAGCGCGAGUCAUCAGCUCGCGUUGAUUACGUCCCUGCCCUUUGUACACACCGCAAAAAAAAGAAAUAUCCCCCUCAUAAGAUUUUUGUCUACUACAUUGGAAUAUUGCUGGUGAUCCUUUCCAUCCUUGUGGAAGUACAUUGUACUGAUAUCUAAUCCCUGGUGUCUCAUUGUUUAUACUAGGUAUGGUGAAUGCUGAGUAUUUUCU